AGUGGCGGACGGGUGAGUAACGCGUGAGAAUCUGCCUUGGGGUCGGGGACAACCACUGGAAACGGUGGCUAAUACCGGAUAAGCCGAUUGGUGAAAGAUUUAUUGCCCGAAGAGGAGCUCGCGUCUGAUUAGCUAGUUGGUGAGGUAAGAGCUCACCAAGGCAGCGAUCAGUAGCUGUCUGAGAGGACGAUCAGCCACACUGGGACUGAGACACGGCCCAGACUCCUACGGGAGGCAGCAGUGGGGAAUUUUCCGCAAUGGGCGAAAGCCUGACGGAGCAAGACCGCGUGAGGGAGGAAGGCUCUUGGGUUGUAAACCUCUUUUCUCAGGGAAGAAGCUCUGACGGUACCUGAGGAAUCAGCCUCGGCUAACUCCGUGCCAGCAGCCGCGGUAAUACGGAGGAGGCAAGCGUUAUCCGGAAUUAUUGGGCGUAAAGCGUCCGCAGGUGGCGAUUCAAGUCUGCUGUCAAAGCACGGGGCUUAACUCCGUAAAGGCAGUGGAAACUGAAUAGCUAGAGUGCCGUAGGGGUAGAGGGAAUUCCCGGUGUAGCGGUGAAAUGCGUAGAGAUCGGGAAGAACAUCGGUGGCGAAAGCGCUCUACUGGACGGCAACUGACACUCAGGGACGAAAGCUAGGGGAGCGAAUGGGAUUAGAUACCCC
rnacentral:rRNA from 1 species